GACGAACGCUGGCGGCGUGCCUAAUACAUGCAAGUAGAACGCUGAAGGAGGAGCUUGCUUCUCUGGAUGAGUUGCGAACGGGUGAGUAACGCGUAGGUAACCUGCCUGGUAGCGGGGGAUAACUAUUGGAAACGAUAGCUAAUACCGCAUAAGAGUAGAUGUUGCAUGACAUUUGCUUAAAAGGUGCAAUUGCAUCACUACCAGAUGGACCUGCGUUGUAUUAGCUAGUUGGUGGGGUAACGGCUCACCAAGGCGACGAUACAUAGCCGACCUGAGAGGGGGAUCGGCCACACUGGGACUGAGACACGGCCCAGACUCCUACGGGAGGCGGCAGUAGGGAAUCUUCGGCAAUGGACGGAAGUCUGACCGAGCAACGCCGCGUGAGUGAAGAAGGUUUUCGGAUCGUAAAGCUCUGUUGUAAGAGAAGAACGAGUGUGAGAGUGGAAAGUUCACACUGUGACGGUAUCUGACCAGAAAGGGACGGCUAACUACGUG
rnacentral:rRNA from 1 species